rnacentral:rRNA from 1 species
UACGGAGGAUGCAAGCGUUAUCCGGAAUGAUUGGGCGUAAAGCGUCCGCAGGUGGCUGUGUAAGUCUGCUGUCAAAGAGCAAAGCUCAACUUUGUAAAGGCAGUGGAAACUACACGGCUAGAGUGCGUUCGGGGCAGAGGGAAUUCCUGGUGUAGCGGUGAAAUGCGUAGAGAUCAGGAAGAACACCGGUGGCGAAGGCGCUCUGCUGGGCCGCAACUGACACUGAGGGACGAAAGCUAGGGGAGCGAAUGGG